rnacentral:tRNA from 1 species
GCCGGAGUGGCGGAACAGGCAGACGCAAGGGACUUAAAAUCCCUCGAUCCAAAAGGUCGUACCGGUUCGACCCCGGUCUCCGGCACCA